rnacentral:rRNA from 1 species
UACGAAGGGGGCUAGCGUUGUUCGGAUUUACUGGGCGUAAAGCGCACGUAGGCGGAUCGUUAAGUCGGGGGUGAAAUCCUGGAGCUCAACUCCAGAACCGCCUUCGAUACUGGCGAUCUUGAGUCCGGAAGAGGUGAGUGGAACUCCUAGUGUAGAGGUGGAAUUCGUAGAUAUUAGGAAGAACACCAGUGGCGAAGGCGGCUCACUGGCUCACUACUGACGCUGAGGCGCGAAAGCGUGGGGAGCAAACAGG